ACUCCUACGGGAGGCAGCAGUGGGGAAUAUUGCACAAUGGGGGAAACCCUGAUGCAGCCAUGCCGCGUGUGUGAAGAAGGCCUUCGGGUUGUAAAGCACUUUCAGUAGGGAGGAAAGGGUGAGUCUUAAUACGGCUCAUCUGUGACGUUACCUACAGAAGAAGGACCGGCUAACUCCGUGCCAGCAGCCGCGGUAAUACA
rnacentral:rRNA from 1 species